CACGUAGGGUGCGAGCGUUGUCCGGAAUUAUUGGGCGUAAAGAGCUCGUAGGCGGUGUGUCGCGUCGGCCGUGAAAACCUGCAGCUUAACUGUGGGCGUGCGGUCGAUACGGGCAUCACUGGAGUUCGGCAGGGGAGACUGGAAUUCCUGGUGUAGCGGUGAAAUGCGCAGAUAUCAGGAGGAACACCGAUGGCGAAGGCAGGUCUCUGGGCCGAUACUGACGCUGAGGAGCGAAAGCGUGGGGAGCAAACAGG
rnacentral:rRNA from 1 species